UUUCAUCACUUCCGCCUUCUGCGUAUCUUUCACGGCGGCUUCUGCGUGGGUCCAUCUCGACUGGUUUGGAUUUAUCGAGAAGUUAUUUGAUAAACUCGAUCAGUUAAUACAAUUAAUUUAAAUAAGUCAGGAUGAAGAUAUCUCGUGGAUGUUACGUCGCGCUGGUGCUCGCGCUCGUCACCGCAGUUUCAGGAGCUCGUGUGAUUCCCCGGCCUGGAUGAACUUAACAACGCCAGAUAACCUCCCAUCACUACCACUCCGUCCCUACCUGCUAGUUAAAAAGCAUAAUUUUGCACUUGCUUUAUAAAGUCAUUUAUAACAACACAAAUAAUAAUUUUAAACAAAACAAGCACCUGAAAUAAUAAGAAGCACAAAAGUGUUGAUGUGAAGGCUGAAGUGGGAGAUGAAGUUAGUUUUAAACCUGACAUUGGAUCUCUUAAAGACAGCAGCAUCACAUGGAAAUAUACGACUCGUGGUGAUGUGAUAAAGGUGAUUGAAUGGGACAAUGACUUUAAGACUUUAGAAAAGCUGAAUCCUAAAUUCAAGACUCGUGUAGCUCUCGAUAGGACCACUGGAGAACUCACUAUAAAAGAUUUACAGCUGGGGCAUACUGGACUUUAUACCAUUGAGAUCAACAAUAAAGAGCUAUACAAAAGAUUCACAUUGACUGUUAAGGAGGGCGUCCCCAAACCACAAUUAAAACAAGAGGAAACAAGUGAUAAUAAUGUAAGGUAUUUGACAUGCGAGUAUAACGCAAUGAUCCGCUGGGCUUGUUCUGAUGGUGAAAAACCACAAAUCACAAAGCUAGCAAAGCCAAGACAAGGAGAGUUUAUUACAUUCAGAAGAAGCGAAAACCAAGACGUCUGCUGCACCUGUACACUUAAAAAUGAUGUGAGUGAGAAAACCAGUGAUCCGGUCUGUGUGAAUGAUCUCUUUUAUGAUUUAAGCAUUACAUUCAUCUGUUGGAUUGUAAUCAUUGGAGUUCUAUCAGUCUGUCUUUUUAUUGUAAUUACUGUCAUCCUUUGCCGGCGCAUCUUCUUUAAAACAUGGUUGAUUUUACCCAAGGAUGCCAGUCGUCGCUCUCGCUCUUCUAAGGGAUUUUCUAAAAAACUGACCUUUGUGCAGUACAAAUGACUGACGCCGGAUCUUCUCAUGGGACUCCCAGCUUUACUAUUGCAACUGGACCUCCUAACCUCAACAUCUGUAGCUUGAUGACAUUAAGAUUUAUUAACAGAUUUUAUUAAAACGGAUUCUGUGAUUCAAUACUAAUACUGAUAAAACUGAUAAACCUUGACAACUGCACAUACUUUACACUACACUAAUGUUUUACAGAUGAGUCUAAGCUAAGGGUUCUGUUCUGCCGGAGAUUGUAUGAAUUCAUAAGUCAAUUCAUAAGUACUCAUGAGUAAAGUAAUGACACAAAAACUAGUUUCUGUCGGCCAAGAUUCAACAAGGAAUUUUGACCAGGGACUGAAAAGCUCCAAGGCCGAUCAAGGAAACUUGAGUCUUUUUAUAAAGAUUUAUAAACAUUCCUAAAGAAUGUAUGGACUUAAUAAAAUAAUGAUAAUACAUUUAAUGUAAACAAUAAUUAAGUAACGUGUUGUUGAAGACACUGACAUUUGUUUUUAUAUGUAAAACAAUAGUGCAAAUGAUGUAACCCAUAAAUGAAGGAAUUCCUGUAGGUCAACAACAAAUGUAUAUCUAAAAGAUAGGAGUUGUCUUUAAUUGUUCAAUGAGAAAGCAACAGUUUGGGUAUCAACCUGAUGUUAAAUUAAAAGGAUAUGAAAGUGGAAUUCAUGUUGUGGGCAAACCAUAAUAAAUAAAAAUAUUUUUACCAUUA